UACGAAGGGGGCUAGCGUUGCUCGGAAUCACUGGGCGUAAAGGGUGCGUAGGCGGGUCUUUAAGUCAGGGGUGAAAUCCUGGAGCUCAACUCCAGAACUGCCUUUGAUACUGAGGAUCUUGAGUAUGGGAGAGGUGAGUGGAACUGCGAGUGUAGAGGUGAAAUUCGUAGAUAUUCGCAAGAACACCAGUGGCGAAGGCGGACUCACUGGCCCAUUACU
rnacentral:rRNA from 1 species